ensembl:lncRNA
CAACCAUGACCAUUGCUACGAGGCCAGUCCCAAGGUAUCUGAGACUGGCAUCCAGUGUGUCAGAUCCACUGCUGGUCUCGGCUAAAGCAGCGGGCAUUCCAAGGGCCUCAGCACAGGUUAUUCCAAAUACUAUUCCCCUCCACUCAGUGCUCCCUGUUACGCGGGUAGCUAUCCUUUGUGUUUGGGCAACUUACUGCUCAAUUACUCCUCCUGAGGGUGUUUCAGCCUAUGAAUCUGCUCACGAGGCCACAACAGUUUCUGAUCUAACUCCAGAACCUCCAGAGGUGGCGGCAUCCGCUGCAGAACCUCCAGAGGUGGUGGCUUUCAUUUAUGAAUUCUCUGCCUGUCCUGUUACGGCUAUGGAGUCCGUAUGUGAACUCUCUGCCUGUGCUGUGACGGCUAUGGAGGCUGUAUUUGAACUCUCUGAUUGUCCAGUAAUGGCCAAGGAGGCCAUCUCGGAACUCUUUGCCUGCUCUACCACACUGAAUAGUCACUAUGUUGAACUUGUCCCACCCAACCUCCCUCUCCCUCCUCCUCCUCUACCUGUUAUGCUGUUUGCUCUGUCUCCGUUUUUAUCUGUCUGUCCCUCAGGUCAUCCUUUGAGGGUGGUAAACAGUCAGGAUUCGCCUCGGGACAGCCAGCCUCCAGCUGCCCCAAGCUUGGAAGGAUCCCAGAUCUUCAUCUCCGGCCUUCGAGACCUGGACUCCACUUCGGUCCGUUGACCCUUUGGUGUAACCUUGGCUCAAAGCUCCCUCAUCUCCAUUGUGGCCCGUCAGUCCACCAGCUCCGCCAGGCUUCCUAAUUCCUCCAGCUCCACCUUGGUCAUUUGUCAACGUGCCCUCGCCUCAGGACUACAUUCCUCCGGCUUCACCUCGUCCCUCCAUCCCUCCGGCUCCGUUGGGCUCCUCUCUCCCUCUGGCUCCUCAUUGGUCCUUCGUUGCUCUGGUUCCACCGCAGGCUUCUGGAACCCCACCUUCGCCUCGGUCGCCAGAGUCGUUGGCUCCACCAUGGCCCUCCAAUCCCUCAGUGUCAACCUGGCUCUUCGGCUCUCCGUCUUCGCCUUGGGUCCACCGGCUCCGUUUCUAUCAGUCAGACCCCUGAAACCUCCUGUUUUACUCUCCGCAUGGUUGCUCCCUCCAUCAACUCCACUGUGGACUGAGUUUUUCUCGUAAUUCUGUUUGGAGCUUCUGGAAUCUGCUCUUAGUUGGGGGGCUCUGUCACGAUAAGGGGUUUUGUCUUGGUUCUCUCUGGACUCCAUUCCCCAUAAACCCCUGCCUAGGAACUCAUUAUUGCACUACACCUGUUUCCUAUCAGUGAUAGUAUAAAGGUUGCACUCAUCCACACACGCAUUGCUGAUUGUUUAGCCUGUGCCCUGUUCCUAGUGUCCGUGAUUCCUUGCCUUGCUUUGCCUUGCCUUUUUUUGACCUUGGACUGUUUAUCGGAUUACUCUUUUGUCUCACCCUGGAUUGUACCUGUUUGCUGGUAUUUGACCCUGCCUGUUUUGACCACUCUUGUGAAUAAAAGCUGCAUUUGGAUCCUCAUCUCUGUCACGCCUCACACGUUACAAAGAGUGAUCUCUGUGGUAUAUAUUUUGCUCUGAAAAUAGCUGGGUAAAUGUGAGCUUUUUUGUGAGCUAAAGUAACAUGACUCUGG